CAGAUUUGCAGAUCAGGCAAAUAAUACUUCUCAGAUCUAAGGAAGACCUCAGUAGGACAUCUGAGGAGCAGAGGAAAUCUGCCAGAUUCAUUUCCACCAUCUCUAUCAGUCUUCCAAAUAGAAGAAACAAAAAAGACACAGCGGAGGGAAAAACACUGAAAACUACAACUAACCUCAUACAUGAAGCCGUAAAGAACACAGCUAAUCAACACCACACAGAGCUAAGGGACGUGCUUUCACAAACUGACCAAUGUGGCGAAUCAACUGGUGAAUUAUUUAAGAAUGGGGAUGGGCCAAAAGCAAGCUUUUAUGAAGACAGUUUUACCACUUUGCAUCAAUGUGGGACAAAACCGGGACAAAAUACAGGAAUACAACACGACAUAGACCUUCAUGAACAAACACAAAUUGUCCACAACAACUCACAAAGACAUUCUACUCAUCCUGUUUGUGAGGUUCAAACAGAAUUCAACAAGGAAUCUGGAGCCAACGACUGUAGAGAGAAUGCUGCAACAACUCCACAAUACCACAGUAAUCUGACCUCCCUUGAAG
rnacentral:lncRNA from 1 species